AUUGAACGCUGGCGGCAUGCUUUACACAUGCAAGUCGAACGGCAGCGCGGGCUUCGGCCUGGCGGCGAGUGGCGAACGGGUGAGUAAUAUAUCGGAACGUACCCAAGAGUGGGGGAUAACGUAGCGAAAGUUACGCUAAUACCGCAUACGAUCUAAGGAUGAAAGCAGGGGAUCGCAAGACCUUGUGCUCCUGGAGCGGCCGAUAUCUGAUUAGCUAGUUGGUGGGGUAAAGGCCCACCAAGGCAACGAUCAGUAGCUGGGCUGAGAGGACGACCAGCCACACUGGAACUGAGACACGGUCCAGACUCCUACGGGAGGCAGCAGUGGGGAAUUUUGGACAAGGGGGGCAACCCUGAUCCAGCAAUGCCGCGUGAGUGAAGAAGGCCUUCGGGUUGUAAAGCUCUUUUGUCAGGGAAGAAAAGGCUGUGGCUAAUAUCCACAGCUGCUGACGGUACCUGAAGAAUAAGCACCGGCUAACUACGUGCCAGCCGCCGCUGUAACAC
rnacentral:rRNA from 1 species